GCUGGGCAUGGUGGUGCAUGCCUGUAAUCCUAGCUACUCAGGAGGCUGAGGCAGGAGAAUCACUUGAACCCAGGAAGCAGAGGCUGCAGUGAGCCAAGAUCAUGCCACUGCACUCCAGCCUGGGUGACAGAGUGAGACUUUGUCUCAA
ensembl:misc_RNA Metazoa_SRP Metazoan signal recognition particle RNA